rnacentral:rRNA from 1 species
AUACAUGCAGUCGAACGCACAGCGAAAGGUGCUUGCACCUUUCAAGUGAGUGGCGAACGGGUGAGUAACACGUGGACAACCUGCCUCAAGGCUGGGGAUAACAUUUGGAAACAGAUGCUAAUACCGAAUAAAACUUAGUAUCGCAUGAUACCAGGUUAAAAGGCGCUACGGCGUCACCUAGAGAUGGAUCCGCGGUGCAUUAGUUAGUUGGUGGGGUAAAGGCCUACCAAGACAAUGAUGCAUAGCCGAGUUGAGAGACUGAUCGGCCACAUUGGGACUGAGACACGGCCCAAACUCCUACGGGAGGCUGCAGUAGGGAAUCUUCCACAAUGGGCGAAAGCCUGAUGGAGCAACGCCGCGUGUGUGAUGAAGGCUUUCGGGUCGUAAAGCACUGUUGUAUGGGAAGAAAAGUUAAGGUAGGGAAUGACCUUAGCCUGACGGUACCAUACCAGAAAGGGACGGCUAAAUACGUGCCAGCAGCCGCGGUAAUACGUAUGUCCCGAGCGUUAUCCGGAUUUAUUGGGCGUAAAGCGAGCGCAGACGGUUGGUUAAGUCUGAUGUGAAAGCCCGGAGCUCAACUCCGGAAAGGCAUUGGAAACUGGUUAACUUGAGUGCAGUAGAGGUAAGUGGAACUCCAUGUGUAGCGGUGGAAUGCGUAGAUAUAUGGAAGAACACCAGCGGCGAAGGCGGCUUACUGGACUGUAACUGACGUUGAGGCUCGAAAGUGUGGGUAGCAAACAGGAUUAGAUACCCUGGUAGUCCACACCGUAAACGAUGAACACUAGGUGUUAGGAGGUUUCCGCCUCUUAGUGCCGAAGCUAACGCAUUAAGUGUUCCGCCUGGGGAGUACGACCGCAAGGUUGAAACUCAAAGGAAUUGACGGGGACCCGCACAAGCGGUGGAGCAUGUGGUUUAAUUCGAAGCAACGCGAAGAACCUUACCAGGUCUUG